UUCGGAUCGAUUACAAAUAGUUUGUGGUUUUCCUGUGAUUGUCGUGUUUUAUAUUCCAACAUUCCAUUGUCAUUUUGGAUGAUGAUUCGAUCAAACAAAAAAAAUGUCAAUCGAAUAAUAAUGAUAUUUAAACGGUAUUGAUGACAAUUUUUUCAUUGUUGAAAUCGUUACAAACAAUAUAUGACAAACGAUAAUUUGAUCAAUGUAUACCAUUCCUCAUAGAUGAUUGUCUCACAUUCAUGAAGAGCUAUUGAAAGAUAAUAUUCAUCCACAUCCAAUAGAAUUUUCGAAAUGGCUAUUCAACCAAAGAAAAAAUGGUAAAAAAAAGUGAAAAAAAUGAAUUUGGAUAUUUUACCGAUUUGGACCGAUUUAACAUCUCGAUCAGCUGUAUCGCCAUCUUUGAGUUACAAUUCGAACUUAUCAAAAAAAAAAAAACAUCGUACAAAAAUUUUCCGGUUUUCUGUUAUUGAAAAUUUUAUUUUACUUCAAAAAUUUAAACACCUGAAAGAGUUAUAAAUAGCUUGAAGAAAAUUUACACCCACACACACACAGUGACACAUACUGUCAAACAGUUAUACGCCCAUUGUCAAGCUCAAUCAAUUUGAUUAUUUGAUUUUUUUUUUUCGUUACCAUUUUAUCAUUUUGCCAUCGUCAUCACACCUAUCCAUUCAAUUACAAGAUAGUGAUCCUAUGAUUUAUACAUGAAUUUUUUUUUCUAUGAAACCGGUCCAUAAAUAUCUUGACACAUGAAAUGAAAAGAGCAAGAUCAAAUUAAUGAUAAAGAUCAUACAACAUUAAAUAGUGAAGAGCAAUUGAUCUAGUUUGUAUUAAACUGUCACAGAUUCAAACGAAAAAAAAAUGCAGACAAUUGUGAUUGAAUGGACAGUGAGAAAAAAAACACGAAUGAGAAAUUUUAAGCUUGUCAAAUGAAAUAAAGAGAGAGAGAGAGAGAGAGAUGGUGGUCCAAAAUAAAUCUAGGAUAGUAGUGUGUAUAUGGAUCAUCAAAACAGCAACAACAAGUUGGACAAACUUUCUCUCAUCCUGGCCAAUCUUAUAUUCAAUAGACCGAAGUCGAUAUUGAGAGAGAGAGA